UGUAAAUGCCAGUUUUAUCUAUAGAUACAUGAAGUCACAGGGCUCAUCUUAAUCAUAAACCCCAUCCCUUGAUAUCAUAGAGGUUUUCUUUUCUCUGUUUUUUUUUUUUUUUUUGUAUGUUUGGCAAUCUUAUUUGUAAUUAGACAUUUUAGUUAGUAGGACACAGUGCCACAUGAAGUGGAACCUUCUGAAAUGCAGGACAAUUAAUGGAGACAAAUAGAAGUAGAAGGAUCCGAAGAUCCAGAAGCAUCUGAAGACAAAGUGCUUUAAUGGAUAUAUAUCAGAUAAACAACAUUGUGCAGUUUACCCAUAUGCAAGAACACUUGUAAAAUGGAGUGAUUAAUGGAGGGGUCAUCAUUGACAUCGAAGUGUAGGGGAAUGAAUUCUGUAUCAUUAUGUUCCUGUGAGGAAUAUGAAGAUAAGGUGUGUAAUCCACCUCUGCUGCUUGAAAAUAAGAUGCUCCUCAUCUCUGGG